rnacentral:rRNA from 1 species
UACGUAGGGGGCAAGCGUUGUCCGGAAUUAUUGGGCGUAAAGAGCGUGUAGGCGGUCCGGUAAGUCAGCUGUGAAAGUCAAGGGCUCAACCCUUGAAUGCCGGUUGAUACUGUCGGGCUAGAGUCCGGAAGAGGCGAGUGGAAUUCCCGGUGUAGCGGUGAAAUGCGCAGAUAUCGGGAGGAACACCAAUGGCGAAGGCAGCUCGCUGGGACGUUACUGACGCUGAGAAGCGAAAGCAUGGGGAGCGAACAGG